rnacentral:rRNA from 1 species
CUUGCAAACUGGAGAUGGCGACCGGCGCACGGGUGAGUAACACGUAUCCAACCUGCCGAUAACUCGGGGAUAGCCUUUCGAAAGAAAGAUUAAUACCCGAUGGCAUAAUAGAACCGCAUGGUUUGAUUAUUAAAGAAUUUCGGUUAUCGAUGGGGGAUGCGUUCCAUUAGGCAGUUGGUGGGGUAACGGCCCACCAAACCUUCGAUGGAUAGGGGUUCUGAGAGGAAGGUCCCCCACAUUGGAACUGAGACACGGUCAAAACUCCUACGGGAGGCAGCAUG